rnacentral:rRNA from 1 species
AGCGAACGCUGGCGGCAGGCCUAACACAUGCAAGUCGAACGAACCUUUCGGGGUUAGUGGCGGACGGGUGAGUAACACGUGGGAACGUGCCUUUAGGUUCGGAAUAACUCAGGGAAACUUGUGCUAAUACCGAAUGUGCCCUUCGGGGGAAAGAUUAAUCGCCUUUAGAGCGGCCCGCGUCGGAUUAGCUAGUUGGUUGAGGUAAUGGCUCACCAAGGCGACGAUCAGUAGCUGGUCUGAGAGGAUGAUCAGCCACAUUGGGACUGAGACACGGCCCAAACUCCUACGGGAGGCAGCAGUGGGGAAUCUUGCGCAAUGGGCGAAAGCCUGACGCAGCCAUGCCGCGUGAAUGAUGAAGGUCUUAGGAUUGUAAAAUUCUUUCACCGGGGACGAUAAUGACGGUACCCGGAGAAGAAGCCCCGGCUAACUUUGUG